rnacentral:misc_RNA from 1 species
UCCGCGUUAUUCGCGGCAGUCUCUCUAGAGGGCCCAGCUUGACCUGAUGGCAACUAGAAACGAGGGUUGCGCUCGUUGCGGGACUUAACCCAACAUCUCACGACACGAGCUGACGACAGCCAUGCAGCACCUGUGUGGACCGCUCCCUUGCGGGAGAAGGACGAUCUCUCGUCCGGUCGGUCCCAUGUCAAGCCUUGGUAAGGUUCUUCGCGUUGCGUCGAAUUAAACCACAUGCUCCACCGCUUGUGCGGGCCCCCGUCAAUUCCUUUGAGUUUCAGUCUUGCGACCGUACUCCCCAGGCGGAAUACUUAACGCGUUAGCUGCGGCUCUGGACCGUUGACGGGCCCAAAACCUAGUAUUCAUCGUUUAUGGCAUGGACUAC